CGCGAGCCGCGGGGGCGGGGGCGGGGGGCGGGGCGGCCGGCGCCCCCGACACCCGGAGCCGAGCCGGCGGCCGGCGGGGCGCGCGGGGAGGGGCGAGCGCGGCCGCGGGUCCGGGGGGCGGGCCGAGCCAGCGCAGCCCCGCGGGCUCCGAGCGGCCCCGCAGCGCGCCCCGAGCCCCGCGCCCCGCGCCCCGCGCCCCGAGCCCUUCCCGCACCCCGGGAGCCGUCGCCCCCGCGCACCUUCGCGGCGCACCCCGAGCCGACCCCCGCGUGGGCGCCGCCGGCUGCGCGCGUCUCCCGUGGACCCUCCUGCGGCAGAGCGACUACUUGGGAGAACAAAGAUGUAGAAGGAGG
rnacentral:lncRNA from 1 species